UACGUAGGUGACAAGCGUUGUCCGGAUUUACUGGGCGUAAAGAGCGCGCAGGCGGUCGAUCAAGUCGAGUGUGAAAGCCCCCGGCUCAACUGGGGAGGGUCAUUCGAUACUGAUCGACUCGAAGGCAGGAGAGGGUAGUGGAAUUCCCGGUGUAGUGGUGAAAUGCGUAGAUAUCGAGAGGAACACCUGCGGCGAAGGCGGGUUGCUGGGCUGACACUGACGCUGAUGCGCGAAAGCCAGGGGAGCGAACGGG
rnacentral:rRNA from 1 species